rfam:Cavia porcellus supercont2_2 genomic scaffold, whole genome shotgun sequence.
AUACUCUGGUUUCUCUUCAGAGCAUAUAAAUCUUUCGACUUUUACUAAAGAUUUCCGUGGAUUCUGACCCUAAAUAUGUCCCCAUCUGACCACAUGAACAUAGUCAUAUC